rnacentral:rRNA from 1 species
AUGGCCGCCUCUGCCUCUUGCAUUUCUCUGGUCGUGCUCGUGGCCCUGGCCACGGCGGCGUCGGCGCAGCUGUCCCCGACGUUCUACAGCGUGUCGUGCCCCGGGGCGCUGGCCGCCAUCAAGAGCGCCGUCACGGCCGCCGUGAGCAGCGACCCCCGCAUGGGCGCGUCGCUGCUCCGGCUGCACUUCCACGACUGCUUCGUCCAGGGCUGCGACGCCUCUGUUCUGCUGUCUGGCAACGAGCAGAACGCGGGCCCGAACGCGGGGUCGCUGAGGGGCUUCGGCGUCAUUGACGGCAUCAAGGCCCAGGUCGAGGCCGUGUGCAAGCAGACCGUCUCCUGCGCCGACAUCCUCGCCGUCGCCGCCCGCGACUCCGUCGUCGCCCUCGGAGGGCCGUCAUGGACAGUUCCUCUGGGGAGAAGGGACUCCACAGGUGCAAACGCGGGGCUGGCAAACAGCGACCUCCCGGGGCCGGGCUCCAGCCGGGCACAGCUCGAGGCCGCGUUCCUCAAGAAGGGCCUGGACACGGUCGACAUGGUGGCCCUCUCCGGCGCGCACACCAUCGGCCAGGCGCAGUGCAGCUCCUUCCGCUCUCGGAUCUACGGCGGCGACACCAACAUCAACGCCGCCUACGCCGCGUCGCUCCGGGCCAACUGCCCCCAGUCCGGCGGCAACGGCAACCUGGCGCCGCUGGACACGACGACGCCCAACGUGUUCGACAACGCAUACUACACGGACCUCCUGUCCCAGAAGGGGCUCAUGCACUCGGACCAGGUGCUGUUCAACGGCGACACCACCGACAACACGGUCCGGAACUUCGCGUCCAACCCGGCGGCGUUCAGCAACGCCUUCACGACGGCCAUGAUCAAGAUGGGCAACAUCGCGCCGCUCACCGGGGCGCAGGGCCAGAUCAGGCUCAGCUGCUCCAAGGUUAACUCGUGA